rnacentral:misc_RNA from 1 species
AAGUCGUAACAAGGUCUCCGUUGGUGAACCAGCGGAGGGAUCAUUACCGAGUUAUCACAACUCCAACCCUUUGUGAACCUUACCGUCGUUUCCUCGGCGCACUGCUGUGGGAGGCUACCCUGUAGCGGUUGUUUACCCUACAGGACGCACCCUGCAGCGGCGCCGAAAGGACUAUCAAAACUCUUUUAUCCAAGUUACCUCGAACAAUUUACUAUACAAUAGUUUAAAACUUUCAACAACGGAUCUCUUGGUUCUG